ACAUGCAAGUCGAACGGAAAGGCCUCUUCGGAGGUACUCGAGUGGCGAACGGGUGAGUAACACGUGGGCAAUCUGCCCUGCACUUCGGGAUAAGCCUGGGAAACUGGGUCUAAUACCGGAUAGGACCUCAAGACGCAUGUCUUCUGGUGGAAAGCUUUUGCGGUGUGGGAUGGGCCCGCGGCCUAUCAGCUUGUUGGUGGGGUGACGGCCUACCAAGGCGACGACGGGUAGCCGGCCUGAGAGGGUGUCCGGCCACACUGGGACUGAGAUACGGCCCAGACUCCUACGGGAGGCAGCAG
rnacentral:rRNA from 1 species